rnacentral:lncRNA from 1 species
AGGACUUUAUUAGAGUGCAAUCAGCUUACGCUACUCUCUCCGAUCCAGAGAAACGUGCCAAAUAUGAUCGGACCCUAUUUGGGAAUAUAUUUGGACGAUCUGUUGGAGUGUCGUCGGCGGGAACUCGUAGCCAUUACACUACUUGCCGGAAUUGGGAAACCGAUCAAUGUUGGUAGCUUUUUUGCUUCGAACGGUUCAUUGUGGAUUUUAGCACUCCUUCCAAACUCACAAGCUCGAUCAAUUUCGUCUCCUGAUUUGGUUUUGGUUAAAAUCACCGUGUACCAUUGUUAGUAAACUGUCUUUGUAAAAUAAUUCUGGAAAUAUAAGUGAACAUAAACAGAAAUGAACAUAAACAAGAAUGAACUACGAAAUAACAAUAAGAGAUCCUCAUGCCAUGACAUGGUGUUCUCGGGCUAUGAAAACGGUGCCUCCAAACGAUGACGUCUUUGGAUGAGUUGGUGAUAUUUCAGCCCAUGAAGGAUGCAGUAGUAUGGACAAGACAGAGCUUAGUCUUGCGAAUUGAAGGGCAGAGCUUAGCCCGUACGAGAAGCGAGAUAAAUAGUGUUUGGGAUAGUGCUUAGUUUCGAAGAAAAUGAGAGGCAGAGCUUAGCCUCGGAAGGCAGAAUGAUAGCCUUAUGCAAUGCAGAUGCAAAUGGAGGUAGAGCUUAACCUCGGAAGACAGAAUGAUAGCCUUAUGCAAUGCAGAUGGACGUAGAGCUUAACUUCGGAAGGUAGAAUGGUAGUCUUAUGCAAGUUGGAAGGCAGAAAGGCAGCCUUAUGCAAUGCAGAUGCAGAUGGAGACAUCGUUUAGUCUCGGAAGGCAGAAUGACAGCCUUAUAAACGUAAUCUUCCUAUUGGAUUAUGCUUAUGCGACGUGCCACAAUAUUGACUUUGUAAUUGUACACGUUAGAACUCAGGAAAUUAUUGGAUUUGAUUCGAUAUAAUAUUGGAUAAGAAAGUGACUACUUGAACAUAAAUAGGGUUUUCCAUCUAUUAUAUGUGGAACAUAUUGGUCUAUAUCUUGUGACAUGAAUUUGAAAAGUUAGGUAUUCAGUUCGAAACAGAUGAAUGUCUAUUUGAAAUUUGAGCCUAAUUUUCAACUUGAGGCAAAAAAUAAACAAGUGUGCAUACAUCAAUGUAAACGUAAUCUUCCCAUUGGAUUAUGCUUAUGCGACGCGCCACAAUAUUGAUUUUGUAAUUGUACACGUUAGAACUCGGGAAAUUAUUGAAUUUGAUUCGAUAUAAUAUCUGAUAAUAAAGUGACUACUUGAACAUAAACAGGGUUUUCCAUCAAUUAUAUGUGAAACAUAUAGGUCUAUAUCCUGUGGCAUGAAUUUGAGAAGUUAGGCAUUCAGUUUGAAACAGAUGAAUGGCUAUAAGAAAUUUGAGCCUAAUUUUCAACUUGAGGCAGAAAAUAAAUAAACGUGCAUACCGUCAAUGUAAAACGUAAUCUUCCUAUUGAUAAGCAAGGGCGAACUGGAUUAUGCUUAUGCGACGUGCUACAAUACUGAUUUUGUAAUCGUACACGUUAGAACUCAGGAAAUUAUUGAAUUUGAUUCGAUAUAAUAUUGGACAAGAAAGUGACUACUUGAACAUAAAUGGGGUUUUUCAUCAAUUAUAUGUGGAACAUAUAGGUCUAUAUCUUGUGAUAUGAAUUUGAGAAGUUAGGCUUUCAGUUAGAGACAUAUGAGUGGCUAUUAGAAACCUGAGCCUAAUUUUCAACAUGAGUUAAAAUAUAAAUAAGCGUGCAUACCAUCAAUGUAAACGUAAUCUUCUUAUUGAUAAGCAAGAGCAAAUUGGAUUAUGCUUAUGCUACGUGCCACAAUAUUGAUUUUGUAAUUGUACAUGUUAGAACUCAGAAAAUUAUUGAAUUUGAUUCGAUAUAAUAUUGG